GCCAGACUCAAAUACAAUGCAAAUGAAUAAAUUGGUUGAACCUAGAAUUGAGCCAAGUAACAGAAACAAUAGCAAGUAACCAGCACACAACUAACCAUUUUGCCAAAGCACUGGUUGAAAAUAUUUAGUUUGAGAACCUGUUCACAUUCACACUACCCAGUAUCCAGUAUAAUGAAGAGAGAUGAAAAUUUAUGAACCUAUACUAUUUCAUCUCAAAAGUACAAAAACAUAAUGCAUCAACAAGAAAACAAAGAGAACACAUAAUGAGCAGUUGCAUUUGCCCCUUUAACAGUCAAAAUGUUCAUAAUGACCCGAUUAUUGUAUAGCAAUGAUCAGGUUCCUACCCUAAUAGUCCCAAUUUUCCGGCCCAGCUUCUUGUUCAAUAGCUAUCUAAACGAAUUACAACCCAACCUCACCUUCCAGCUCCAAUUGCUCUGCUGCAGCCUCCUCCUCAGCAUCAUCGAU
rnacentral:misc_RNA from 1 species